CCUUACCGCACCACGCCCUUCACCACCUUCAUGGCUGCCCUUUGAUUUAGGGCUUUGAGGAAGAAGGAAAGGAGACAAGAAGAGGGAGAACAAGAAAGCUUCCCCAACUUUUCCCUUCACCAAAUCUUUGUGAUUUGACCAUAGAGGUACAUCACCGUGAGGCUUUGCAAGUAUUAGGAAGGGCGUAGCUCCCAUGGGUGUUCACUCACACAUUUCACACCCCUUCCAUCCACCUAGCUGAUCAUGGUAACUCUCAUACUUAGUUCAUGAUUCUUGGUAGCUAGGAUCUACUUGUGUUGUAUAAACUUUGCCUUGGUUUGUUUCCAUGAUCACUAUGUUUACCUGUCAAGGUGGGUUGGAGUUGACUAGUCCCCACCUUGCACCAUGGUGUGUUGGAACGUAUGUUUUCUUUGCUAUGUGUAGCAUAACGGUUGGUGGCUUCACCACUUUGCUCUACAUGGGUUGUAGGAGGUUGUUGGAUGCUUCUGCUUGUGAUAUUAUGAAUAUAUGCUUUGUUUAU